rnacentral:rRNA from 1 species
AACUGAGACACGGUCCAGACACCUACGGGUGGCAGCAGUCGAGAAUCAUUCGCAAUGGGGGAAACCCUGACGAUGCGACGCCGCGUGGAGGAUGAAGGCCUUAGGGUUGUAAACUCCUGUCAAGAGGGAAUAAGCAAGUGAAGGUACCUCUAGAGGAAGGGGCGGCUAAUUCCGUGCCAGCAGCCGCGGUAACACGGAAGCCCCGAGCGUUGUUCGGAUUCAUUGGGCGUAAAGGGUGCGUAUGCGGCGCGGAAAGUCCGGCGUGAAAGGCAGAGGCUCAACCUCUGGACUGCGUUGGAUACUUCCGUGCUUGAGGACUGGAGGGGAGACUGGAAUUCACGGUGUAGCAGUGAAAUGCGUAGAUAUCGUGAGGAAGACCGGUGGCGAAGGCGAGUCUCUGGACAGAUCCUGACGCUGAGGCACGAAGGCUGGGGGAGCGAACAGGAUUAGAUACCCUGGUAGUCCCAGCAGUAAACGAUGUGAGCUUGAUGUGGGGGGAUUCGACCCCUUCCGUGUCGAAGCUAACGCGAUAAGCUCACCGCCUGAGGAGUACGGCCGCAAGGCUAAAACUCAAAGAAAUUGACGGGGACCCGCACAAGCGGUGGAGUAUGUGGCUUAAUUCGAUGCAACGCGAAGAACCUUACCUGGCCUUGACAUGCAUUGUGUCGUCGGUGAAAGCCGGCUAGUCCUGGAAACAGGACGCUUUGCACAGGUGCUGCAUGGCUGUCGUCAGCUCGUGUCGUGAGAUGUUGGGUUAAGUCCCGCAACGAGCGCAACCCUUGUGGUCAGUUACUAACCGGCUUAGCCGGAGGACUCUGGCCAGACUGCCCUGUCAAACGGGGAGGAAGGUGGGGACGACGUCAAGUCAGUAUGGCCCUUAUGGCCAGGGCUGCACACGUACUACAAUGCCCGGUACAAUGUGAACCGAAACCGCGAGGUGGAGAAAUCGCUCUUGAAAACCGGGCCCAGUUCGGAUUGGAGUCUGCAACUCGACUCCAUGAAGUCGGAAUCGCUAGUAAUGGCGUAUCAGCAACGACGCCGUGAAUACGUUCCCGGGUCUUGUACACACCGCCCGUCACAUCAUGGAAGUCUCCUGUACCCGAAGCACGUGCGCCAACCUUUUAGGAGGCAGCGUUCGAA